AAGCUGCAAGUGUGUGGUCCAAGUUGGUGUUAACUUCUGUCUAUGAAAGUCUGAUAUGGGUCCUCCCCUAAACUUCUGUUAGAACGGUGGGAAACAUUGCUCCCGUGAGAACGGUAUAGUGGACUUCAUCGCCACUGACCCACAUUUAUUAGGGUGUGACACGAACUUGUGGACAGAGUACCGAGCUGCUGCUUUGCCAAGUGGAUUUCUGGCUGCGGGCAAAGGACCCGACACAUCACUG